rnacentral:lncRNA from 1 species
CCUCCUUUAUACAUAAUGAUUCUCCACUCCAUGAACUGUUUUUAUGAAGCAGCACAAAACCAAUAAAAAGGUUUGUGCGUCAAAACCCAAUAUCUACUGUCCACUACUAUCAAAAGAUUUCUACAAUAUGUACACGUCAAACUUCAAUAUCCAUUAUGAUCCUCUGCUCCAUGAAUCGUUUUUAUGAAGCAGCACAAAACCAAUUAAAAAGGUAAAUUCCAUUGCAUGAUAUCUGCAAAUCUGGAAUGGACCCAUUUCUUCAAGCACUGCUUCACCUAAUAGCAAUACAUUUUCAGGUUUGUGCAUCAAAACCCAAUAUCUACUGUCCACUACUAUCAAAGAUUUCUGCAAUAUGCUACACUUCAAACUUUCUUCUCCAGUAUAUGAUUCUCUACACCUUCAACUGUUUUAUGAAGAGGCACACAACCAAUAAAACGAUUUCUACAAUAGCUACAGUUGAAACUUCCUCCUUAUCCAUUAAAUGAUUCUCCACUCUAUGAACUCUUUUGAUGACGCACACAACCGAUAAAAAAGUGAAUACAAAACCAUUGUUCAAGUAUCUUCAGAAAAUGUCCCGGCAAAACUGUAAACUGAUGCAGGCAGUCAAUAGUCAAAGAUAUCACAAAUGCAUAACCACAAAAGUAACACAAUUCUAUAUGAAAUGUUGGAUGGAUGGCUUGUAUUUAUAUUUAGCCUAUGUACAGCAAAUUUAGAUGCCAGCCCAAGGAGGAUGGCUUGCCCCUGCUGAGUCUGGAUCCUCCCAAGGUUUCUCCCUAUACCUCUCUGCUGAUGAUGCUCCUCUUCACUAAUUUAGGGAGUUUUUCCUUGCCACUGUUGCCUUCUGGCUUGCUCACUGGGGUAUUAAGGCAGAAUAUUUUCAAUGUAAACUGUGUAAAGUGUUUGUAAAGAAUAAAAACAUGAAUUAGAAUAUACUUUUGUCCUUGCUGUCAUGAACUUCCAUGUACUGUAUGAAUGUCUUCUGUUUACUGAUCUAUGCUAGAUGUUCGAAGUAGAAGUUUAGUUUUGUUCCCCAUACUUAUUUUAUUUAUUGUUUUAAAUUACAUCUGAGCACAAUUCGUAUCACUGUGCUACAUAGAGGAUACAUGAUAAUGGAUAAAAUUAUAUAAUAGUAAUCCUUUUCUUUGCAAACAGGUUAUUUGAUUGAUGUACUAUUAAACCUGGAAUUGGGGAGAAAAUGGUUAAACUAAUUAUAUUUAGUGUACACAACAGAAGUAUUCAUGCCUAAGUAUUAAAUAAGUAUUAAACCUCUUGAGGAAAAAUUGAAAGCUCGACAAAAGGCAGUUUUCAAAUAUUUUUUUAUUCCAGUGAUGCUCUCCAUGAAACUGACAAUAAUAAAAUGCUUUGCUAUAGUAUACAGUGGCAGGAGCUCACCCACUCAAUACACAUUGAUAUUUUUGUUUAUAACUGUCAAUUUAACAAGUAUAAAAGUUAGUUGAAAUGUUGCAAAGAUGUCCCUGUAUUGUUGAUCAGAUGUUCUAUCAUGAUGUCACACCCACAGAAGUUGAAUGGAAUUGAAACCUGUGACCUCAUCUGUGAGAGCACAAUUGUUAUCACACUGUGAAACAUAUGGCACACAGUCACUAUAAUGUUGAAGAUAUGUUUUAAUAUAAAUAGGAACACAGAUGAAGCAUAAACUUGCAUGCUAACAAAGAAUGUUUUUGAAGUGUAGUGCAGAGCAAGAAGAGCAAAUACAGCAGAAAUUGAAUAUACAUUAAAAAACUGUUCAGAAGUAGAGAAGUUCAAAAAUGAACAGAAGUUUAGGCGACAAUGAACAAAAAUACAUUCCUGCUUCAAUACAUUCAUAAAAUCCAACAUCUGGAACAAAUGCAAUAUUGACCACCCUGGAUUCGAACACACAACCUUAGAGGUUCAGAACCAACAGCUUAGCAGAGUGCACCACUCAGUCAAUGCAUGUCAUAGCAUACUGCAGAAGAGAGGUUAAGGUGUGAGAAUGAUCUCACAACUUCAAAAUCAAACAGAAGUUCACAUAAGAAUGAACAAAAACAGUUUUUAAUUCAUUACAAACACACACAGAAUACCCAACGUCUGGAACAGAAGCAACAUGAACCACACUGGAUUCAAACCCACGACCUCAGAGAUUCGGAACCAGCGCCUUAACAGAGUGAGCCACAUUAGUUGCCGCACAUCUCACAGGCCGCAGAAGCGAGUUUAAGGUGUGAGAAUGAUCUCUCAAAAGCCUGAAUUAGCAUUUGAGCCAGAUUAGCAUGCUAAGCUAAAAAUUGCUAACGUUGCUCAAAGUUAACCAGAUAGCUCAAAACACCCAUUAGAAUGAAUAGAAACGUGUUAGCGUGUUAGCUAAUUAGCAUGCUAAGCUAACUAGUACAAAUCAACUAGCACAGGCACGGUCAACUUCAGAGAUGUACAUGUCGGGAACGGGAGUGAAUAUCAAAAAUCUGUUCAGUCAUUUCUGUCUGGCUCAGUCUGAAGAUCACCUGAUCAAAUUUUGAACAAAAUUAAACAAGUUUUCAGGGAGAAGUAGCGAAAAAACUGUUUUUCAUUCCAUUCAAUAUGGCGGACAGACACCAUAUUGGAAAAUGACAAAUGAGACAUCAUCAGAUUUGGCAGAACCCAAGAAACGAAAUGACAUAAAAAUAACAAAAAUCGAUCAACGAUUUCAAAAGUUAUAAGGGGUUUUGCAAGAAUCAUUAUAUCUCUUGAACACUAGGUGGCGCUGUCUUCAAACUUCCGGGGUACCUCCGGCACAUGGUGUUGAUGAUGCCUACCCAUUUUGUGCAAAUCUGUCCAGCAGAUCAAAAGAUAUCGCAAUUUAUGACAAAUUUCAAAAUGGCGGACAGGUGGUCCAGGUGGUCUUGACAAAAUUGACAUCCACAGAUUUGGAAUGACCCAAAGAAUCCAUAGACACCAAGAUCAUAAUUUUCUGACGAAUUGUUCAGAAGUUAUAAGCAAAAAGUGAUUUUCUUGUAUCUCAACACCCAUAGGUGGCGCUGUUCCCAACUUUGGCAUGGAACCUCAGAUCAUGGUGUAGAUCAAGUGUACCAAGUUUGGUUUCGAUUGAUCAAAGUUUGGCCGAGAUACAGCCUCUCAACCGAUUUUGGGUCGAGCUCAUUAAGUUCACAGCAUCAUAAUUUUUUUUUUCACUAGUGUUCAAAAAAUUCUGUUCAGUCAUUUCUGUGCGGCUCAGUCCAAAGAUCAUAUGAGCCAAAUUUCAUAAGAAUUGGGCCAAUUUUGAAGGAGGAGUAGUGUUUAGACUGAAUAAUGUACUUUUCAAAAUGGCCGCUACUGUAAUGGGCGGAGCCUUAAUGUAAGGUAUGGAAUGGAAUCUCCAUGAAGAGCAUGUUCAGGUGUACUAAGUAAAAUUUUCAUAGAAUUAGGGGUU